UAUGUAUGUGUGCAUGUAUAUGUGAUACAUGUAUAGAUGUAUAAACAUACAUAGACGUACAUAUGCAUAUAUAUCACA
rnacentral:miRNA from 1 species